UUGAGAGAAGAAAGAAAAGGGAGGCCUAUUCGGCCAAGGAGAGAAAAAAAUUGGAGCCUUCAACUUUGAUUCAAAAAAAUAUUUUCUUCUAGUAUUCCUACUAAUUCAAGGGUCCUCUUCAACGUGGCAUAAUUGUUAGAGCAAGAAGACCUCUCUUUGUUGCAAGUUUAUAAUCAUAGCUAAGUGAGAAGUUAAGGAGAAAAGAUCUUGCGAAGCCAAAGACUUAAGUUUGAAGUAGCGUAGAAAGCGGGCAAGGUACAGACGUUCGAGUGAGUGACCCGACAGUUUAGGCCAUCUGUUCUGCUGCUUUGGAGUGCUCCCUUGUUCUGGAGCCCAUGUUUUG